ensembl:lncRNA
GUAAAAAAAAAAAGCAUGCAAACCUGCACUAAAAGAAUCUGCGAAACAGCGAGGUGAAAGGUGAACCGUGUUAUAAUGAAGGACCGCUGUAAUUUUGAAGUUAUUUGGAACAAAUGAAGCAGGAGUGUCACUUCUGAUGGGAUCAUGGGGUGGCGGCCUGGAUCCCAUCCCAGCUGCAACAGGAGAUUUUCUGUCUCACUUCCACCAUCCUCACCUCCAUUUUCCCGAGCAAGAAGAGGAGAGCAUGAGUAAGAAAGCACCCUCUACACCUGGAACCUCUGGCAAAUGAGUAGGUGGAGGUUUAGGAUAGCCAGGAGCCAGAGUUGCUCGUGGAUCCAUCGUGGAUGAUGGUGGGCUGCCACAGAGCAUGAAGAAGAGAAGAAGGGAGGCAAAAUAAAUUUUGGCUCAAAGCUCCAGGAGCAAAAACAGAAAAAGUACUAACCAUAGUCCCACAACGAUUUCUGCACAGAAACCUUGAGCAGCCAUCUUUUUAGAUAGUUAUUACAUGCUGUGUAAAUAAAUCUUAUCAACUGCACUAAAAUACACAUAAAUACCGUGC